rnacentral:rRNA from 1 species
CAGCCGCCGCGGUAAUACAGAGGGUGCAAGCGUUAAUCGGAAUUACUGGGCGUAAAGCGCGCGUAGGUGGUUUGUUAAGUUGGAUGUGAAAUCCCCGGGCUCAACCUGGGAACUGCAUCCAACACUGGCAAGCUAGAGUAUGGUAGAGGGUGGUGGAAUUUCCUGUGUAGCGGUGAAAUGCGUAGAUAUAGGAAGGAACACCAGUGGCGAAGGCGACCACCUGGACUGAUACUGACACUGAGGUGCGAAAGCGUGGGGAGCAAACAGGAUUAGAUACCCGCGUAGUCCCUGUCUCUUAUAA